UACGUAGGUGGCAAGCGUUGUCCGGAAUUAUUGGGCGUAAAGCGCGCGCAGGCGGUCCUUUAAGUCUGAUGUGAAAGCCCACGGCUCAACCGUGGAGGGUCAUUGGAAACUGGGGGACUUGAGUACAGAAGAGAAGAGUGGAAUUCCACGUGUAGCGGUAAAAUGCGUAGAGAUGUGGAGGAACACCAGUGGCGAAGGCGACUCUUUGGUCUGUAACUGACGCUGAGGCGCGAAAGCGUGGGGAGCAAACAGG
rnacentral:rRNA from 1 species